GUGCUCACUUUGGCAGCACAUAUACUAGAAUUGGAACAACACAGAGAAGAUUAGCAUGGCCCCGGAGAAAGGAUGACAUGCAAAUUCAUGAAUCAUACCAUAAUUUU